UCCAGAGACCUGUCAUACCUCUCUGGGGUGGCCAGGCAGGGGCCAUCGCAGGGGCUCGCCAGCAUGGGGAAGGGCUCUGGAACGGUGAACACCACGUCCUGAGGAGGUUCCAGCAUGGCGGGGGUAGCGGUUGUCUGCACGAUUCCACUCACCUCCAGGACGGUAACCAGCCCACAGGGCAUCUCCUCAAUUCGGCGCAGGAACUGUUUGUGCAAACCCUACAUGGCGCCUUGGGAGGAGACGGCAUGAUGCAGACGGUCGAGCACCGCUGAGUCCGAGUUGCUAUCAUCUUGCCAGCUUCUGUCAUCGAGAACACAGCAGACGGACUCGGUGGACUCAGGUGCAGGUGCUCUUUUAUUUAUGCGGGACAGCCAAGAGAGUGGUCAGGACAGGCAAGGGUCAGGCGAUUUGCAUUCAUCAGUUACCGAGCAGAAUUCAAAGCUGUGGACGGUGCAAAGGUCAGGGAGCCACAGGAGUCAUCACUGGGGAAUAAGAGAAGGGAUUACGAAAGGGAACAAAAGCAAAGAAGCACAGGGCACGAGGCUCUUGUUACAGCUGCUCAAAGUGAGGUUCCGCAUUCGGCUUUGGUCAAGUUGCCUCGGAGGUGGGUCGUACGGCUGCAGGUGUGACAACGGAGCUGUGAAAGGACCCAGGAUUCCAUCUCCUUCAUGGAGAAAUUAGCAUACUGCAGCGAUGACCACCAAGAUACACUGGUAAAAUAAUUUUAUAUGGUGUAUCAUAUCCUUGAACAGCACAACCGGCAUAGUGAGAGCAUGUUGCCUUAAUAUUUUAUGGUGCACCUGUUUUCUCACCCAUCUUUAACUUGUAACUUGGAACAGGCCUACAUCUUUUAUUUUUGGAGAAUUUAACACACUCGUCUUACAUCAUCCUCAGUGUUUUUUAAAACAAGCUCGUUCAUGAAGAUUCAAAAUUUGGAUAUCCCCCCGUAUUUAUUUUAGGAACUGACUGAGAAAAAAAGUCCUCAAAAUAUGAAAAUCUGGUCACAUGGUAACAGUACAAUACAGAAAUUGCUUUAAUGAACACAGGAACAGUACAAACAAGAGUGUAUGUUCCAGGUCACAUCGCUUUGUGUAUAUACAGUGUCAGUUUGAUAAUUAAGUCAAUUACAAAAGAUAUUUGUUAUUCCAGAUGUUCACCGAGCUUGGUACACACACACAUUUUCUGAACUGCUUGCCCCAUGCGGGGUUGCGGGGAACCGGAGCCUACCCGGCAACACAGGGCGUAAGGUCGGAGGGGGAGGGGACACACCUAGGACGGGACGCCAGUCCAUUACAAGGCACCCCAAGCAGGACUCAAACCCCAGACCCACUGGAGAGCAGGACCCGGUCCAACCCACUGCGCCACCACACCCCUUUAAGCUGAGCUUGGUAUUCAGACAUAAACGUUUCAUCACCAGUCGAUGUGACAUCAUCAGCACUUCCUGGAAACCAAGGAAGUUUCCAGCUUCCUGACCCAAUAUAAAGACUCACAUUCAAACCUGCAUUACACACACUGAGCACUGAUGAUAUCACCUCAACUAGUGAUGAAAUUUUUGCAGUCUGAAUGCCAAGCUCGGUGAACACCUGGACAUCUGAAUCAACAACCCGAGCUACAAACACCAUCAAUCUUCUCUACCAUUUCUAUUUGCUAGUAUUGUCAAUGGGAUGUACGUUUAUUAUGA
ensembl:lncRNA